UAAGCGAGGCGUUUCAUCAUG
rnacentral:piRNA from 1 species